rnacentral:rRNA from 1 species
ACGGAAGGCAGCAGUGGGGAAUAUUGGGCAAUGGGCGAAAGCCUGACCCAGCAACGCCACGUGAAGGAAGAAGGUCUUCGGAUUGUAAACUUCUUUUAUGAGGGACGAAGGACGUGACGGUACCUCAUGAAUAAGCCACGGCUAACUACGUGCCAGCAGCCGCGGUAAUACGUAGGUGGCGAGCGUUGUCCGGAUUUACUGGGUGUAAAGGGCGCGUAGGCGGGAUGGCAAGUCAGAUGUGAAAUCCCCGGGCUUAACCCGGGAACUGCAUUUGAAACUGUUAUUCUUGAGUAUCGGAGAGGCAAGCGGAACUCCUAGUGUAGCGGUGAAAUGCGUAGAUAUUAGGAGGAACACCAGUGGCGAAGGCGGCUUGCUGGACGACAACUGACGCUGAGGCGCGAAAGCGUGGGGAGCAAACAGGAUUAGAUACCCUGGUA